rnacentral:rRNA from 1 species
CUACGGGAGGCAGCAGUGGGGAAUAUUGGACAAUGGGCGCAAGCCUGAUCCAGCGACGCCGCGUGAGCGAUGAAGCCCUUCGGGGUGUAAAGCUCUUUCGACAGGAACGAUAAUGACGGUACCUGGAGAAGAAGCUGCGGCUAACUACGUGCCAGCAGCCGCGGUAAUACGUAGGCAGCAAGCGUUGUUCGGAAUUACUGGGCGUAAAGAGUGUGUAGGCGGUUCGCUAAGUUUGGUGUGAAAUCUCCCGGCUUAACUGGGAGGGUGCGCCGAAAACUGGCGGGCUUGAGUAUGGGAGAGGAAAGCGGAAUUCCUGGUGUAGCGGUGAAAUGCGUAGAUAUCAGGAGGAACAUCUGUGGUGUAGACGGCUUUCUGGACCAUUACUGACGCUGAGACACGAAAGCGUGGGUAGCAAACAGGAUUAGAAACCCUUGUAGUCC